GGAUUGAUGAUGAUUCCCAAAUAUACAUUACUUGGAAAUCUGAACAAAAUGAGUAAAAACUAUACUGUCAUCUUCACUGAACUGGGAC
rnacentral:snoRNA from 1 species